rnacentral:sRNA from 1 species
AGCCCGCGGCCCCCCGUCGCCCGGGCCGUCUGUAGCCCCUGACCUGACCUCGCCAUGGCCGAGGCCGCCUCCGGCGCCGGGGGCACGUCCCUGGAGGGCGAGCGUGGCAAGAGGCCCCCGCCGGAGGGCGAGCCUGCAGCCCCGGCGUCCGGAGUUCUGGAUAAGCUUUUCGGGAAGCGGCUCCUGCAGGCGGGUCGCUACCUGGUGUCCCACAAGGCGUGGAUGAAGACGGUGCCUACAGAGAACUGCGACGUGCUGAUGACCUUCCCAGGUACCCACGCCCGCCCGCCCGCCCAGUGCCCAGAUGCGGCUCUCCUGAGCUCGGCUUCCCAGAGCGGGAAUAUAUAGGAGGCCUUGGGCCCCCUCGUGGCAGGAGCCAUCGGUCCCUGUGCCCCUUGGCAGACACGACCGAUGACCACACGCUGCUAUGGCUGCUGAACCACAUCCGCGUGGGCAUCCCCGAGCUCAUCGUGCAAGUCCGCCACCACCGCCACACGCGUGCCUACGCCUUCUUUGUCACCGCCACGUAUGAGAGGCGAGUCCCCUGUCCCUGGCCUCUCGCUGAGCCUGCCACCCGGCUCCCCGCUCUACCAAGUGCCAACCAUGCUAUGCAGCCGCCCUGCGUUUGUCCCAAAGGCUGCCAGGUGCACCAUCCUCAGCUCCAGGAUG